UCCCUUCAGAUAACUCUCUCUAGUGUGUGUGU
rnacentral:piRNA from 1 species